AAUGGAGCAAGAAAUAAGCAAAGAUAGACUCAGAUCAGUUCAUAAACAGGAACUCCAGUCCCCCAAGGUAACGAUUUCAUGAGAAAAAGCACCAAACAGAAAGCACAAGCAUAUCUCUUAUUAUAUAUGGCUAAUUCAAAGAAAGGAAAUACUAGUAACCAGUUAUGUAUUAUGUUUAAGGAAUUCAUUUGAUAUAUGGCUCUACACCUACUACACAGCAGCAAACCAAAUCUUCUCUGCUUCUUCAUUGAUCCUUCUCCAUUUCCAUUGAUCUCAUCUAUGGUGAACCUGGUGCUACUUUCCUAAAGUUA
rnacentral:lncRNA from 1 species